AAACGUAGGUCACAAGCGUUGUCCGGAAUUACUGGGUGUAAAGGGAGCGCAGGCGGGAAGACAAGUUGGAAGUGAAAUCCGUGGGCUCAACCCAUGAACUGCUUUCAAAACUGUUUUUCUUGAGUAGUGCAGAGGUAGGCGGAAUUCCCGGUGUAGCGGUGGAAUGCGUAGAUAUCGGGAGGAACACCAGUGGCGAAGGCGGCCUACUGGGCACCAACUGACGCUGAGGCUCGAAAGUGUGGGUAGCAAACAGGAUUAGAUACCCUGGUAGUCCACACUGUAAACGAUGAUUACUAGGUGUUGGAGGAUUGACCCCUUCAGUGCCGCAGUUAACACAAUAAGUAAUCCACCUGGGGAGUACGACCGCAAGGUUGAAACUCAAAGGAAUUGACGGGGGCCCGCACAAGCAGUGGAGUAUGUGGUUUAAUUCGACGCAACGCGAAGAACCUUACCAAGUCUUGACAUCCUGCGACGGUGCUGGAAACAGUACUUUCCUUCGGGACGCAGAGACAGGUGGUGCAUGGUUGUCGUCAGCUCGUGUCGUGAGAUGUUGGGUUAAGUCCCGCAACGAGCGCAACCCUUAUGGUCAGUUACUACGCAAGAGGACUCUGGCCAGACUGCCGUUGACAAAACGGAGGAAGGUGGGGAUGACGUCAAAUCAUCAUGCCCUUUAUGACUUGGGCUACACACGUACUACAAUGGCGUUAAACAAAGAGAAGCAAGACCGCGAGGUGGAGCAAAACUCAGAAACAACGUCCCAGUUCGGACUGCAGGCUGCAACUCGCCUGCACGAAGUCGGAAUUGCUAGUAAUCGCAGAUCAGCAUGCUGCGGUGAAUACGUUCCCGGGCCUUGUACACACCGCCCGUCACACCAUGAGAGCCGGGGGGACCCGAAGUCGGUAGUCUAACCGCAAGGAGGACGCCGCCGAAGGUAAAACUGGUGAUUGGGGUG
rnacentral:rRNA from 1 species